AUGGUGGGCGUUGUCCAGUUGUCCGUACGAAUCCAGAUUUCCCCUCCCUGCUACAUCUCUCCUUCCACCGAGACUGUCUUCUUAUUGCUGUUUUUUCUUUUUACUACCAAAUUGAUGCAGAUGCUAUUAGUGAAAGGAUUGGAGACUGGGUCUAGUAGUGGUAGGUUUUUUGAGAAAUUCCAAGUGCUCGGGAAUUGCAAAUUGUUUCAGCCAGGGGGUAAUUGCACUCAACAUGGAGGAUGGUACCCUUCAUCGUUUCCUUUCAACAAAUGCUAUUUUAGCAACAGGACUCAACAUGGUUAUGGCAGAGGUUACUUCUCUGCUAUUUCACCUCACACAUGUACUAGUGAUGACAAUGCUAUGGUUGCACGUGCUGGGUUACCCCUUCAGGAUCUUGAGUUUGUGCAGUUCCAUCCUACAGGCAUUUACGGUGCUGGAUGCCUUAUAACCGAAGGUUCCCGGGGCGAAGGUGGUAUUCUUAGGAACAGCAAAGCUGAGAGGUUCAUGGAAUGA
rnacentral:rRNA from 1 species